CAGAAGCAGGGUGGGCGUGCCAGCAGGGGCCUGCAGCUGCUAUGAUGACUACUGGUGCUCACAGGUGGCUGGCUGACUCUGCACCUCCAGGUGGGAGGGUGGCACUCCCCUGUGACCUGAAGGGGGACCUACACUACUGGGUUACAGAGCUGCCCACCAGCUCUCAGAGGGUCUCCAGACACCGGAAGGGCCCUGCUGGGAUGACGGAGCCAGACAGGAGCUUCACUCAUCCCAUCCCUCCUCCUCCUCAGCCCAGAGCUCUCUGCUGUGGCCUGGGAAAGCAGUAGAAGAUGGCCCAAGUCUUCAGGCCCCUGUACCCAUGUGGGAGACCCAGAAGAAGCUCCUGGCUCCUGAUUUUCGGUCGGCCCAGCUCCAGCUGUUGCAGCCAUCUGGAAAGUGAACUAACAGAAGACUUCUCUCUGCUGCCAUUAGCAUCUUCCCUCUGCUACCACCAGCUCUGGCACCAGCUCCAGCCUGGCACCAUGCCCCCUUCUCCUUCAGCCAAAACAUGGAGAUAAAUGGGCUGGCAGCGGGGAGAGGAGAAGGGGAGCACAGGAAGGCAGGAAACUUCGGCGGAAUAUUUAUGCUGACUUUAUCUCCGUCUGGGUGCCAGCCCUUGAAAGUGGAAAAUUAAUGACCUUAAUUCCCAAACUGGUUUGCCUGGAGCUGUGCGCACGGCCCGCCCCUCCCCCAUUGGCCGGGCGGCCCCCAGCCCCGGCCCACGCCACUCCGUCCCGGGUCUGGAGUUCAGGGCUGGGCUGGGGGCCGAGGAGGGCGGGCCGCGGCCGGGUAGGGGGUGGGGGGCGCGGGCGGAGGCGGAGAGCGGGGGCGGCCCUCCUGACGUGACAGCCGCACUUAGCCUGAAGAGACGGCGGAGAGGCAACAGAUGCCACUUGAGGAGCAGAGCAUGACGGGAGCGCGGGCUGAGCCGCGGCCCGGCGUUCGGGGCGAGGGGAGCAGGCGGCCCACGCGCAGGGCCCCGAAGGUCUGCGGGCAGCGGGAGAGGACCCCGGCGGGAGGAAGCUGGCCCGGGCCUGGGCCCAGAGGGACAGGCUGCUUGAGGGCGCCGGGGAUCUGCCCGGGGCCGGAGGAAGGCAGGCUUUCCCGCGCCCCCGCCAAGGGCUUUGUGCGGGCCAGGAUACCUCACAAAGUUCCUGGAAGGGGCGGAGGUUGUUAGCCCAGUUGCGAAGACGCAGGAUAGGCGCCUGCGUGCCGCGUCUCAGCACCCGAGUUCGAGUCCCAGCGCCUGCUCUGGCUCCAGCUUCUUGCUAAUGCAGAUCUCCACUCAGGCUCUUGCAGCAUUUGGGGAGUGACCCGGAGGGAUA